AUCAGCAGCCAUGUCACCCUGCAACUCACAACUGGCAACCCACUGAAGCUAAGCAGGUGUGAGCCUGGUCAGUUCCUGGAUGGGAGACCUCCUGGGAAAAACUAAGGUUGCUGCUGGAA
ensembl:rRNA 5S_rRNA 5S ribosomal RNA